AGCAUGGGGACUUCGGCAGGCGGGAAGUAAAGGUCAGGUAUUAAAACCCUAACCCCGAGUGAAACCGAGGGCCUUAAACUCUCGCGAGAUCUCCGGGAGCCCAAUGGAACGCAGGGCUCUGCUUAUCACUAGGGCUAUUUGUUAGGGGCGGAGCUCCUGAGGUCUCUCCCGGAGAGUCGUAGGUGCCCGGCGUAACGGCUUAGCAGCUGUGCCACCGCUCUAAAGAGCGUAACCGUGGCCAUGAAGGAAGAAAAAGAUCAUAGGCCUAAGGAGAAACGAGUGACCCUGUUUACGCCGCAGGGCGCCACAGGCGGCUGUAUUGGCGCUACUGCCGAAGGCGCCAAAGGGGACGAUAGGCAGGAUCGCAACAGGGACAAGAAAGAAGCUUUGAGCAAGGUGGUAAUUCGAAGAUUACCUCCCACUUUGACCAAGGAACAGCUUCAGGAACAUCUUCAACCUAUGCCUGAGCACGAUUAUUUUGAGUUUUUUUCUAAUGAUACUAGCCUUUAUCCUCAUAUGUAUGCCAGAGCAUAUAUCAACUUUAAAAACCAAGAAGACAUUCUUUUAUUCAGGGACCGAUUUGAUGGCUAUGUAUUCCUUGACAAUAAGGGUCAAGAAUAUCAUGCUAUAGUAGAAUUUGCACCAUUUCAAAAAGCUGCAAAAAAGAAGAUUAAGAAAAGAGAUACAAAAGUUGGGACUAUCGAGGAUGAUCCAGAAUACAGAAAAUUUUUGGAGAGUUAUGCCACAGACAAUGAGAAAAUGACAUCUACUCCAGAGACAUUGCUGGAGGAAAUUGAAGCCAAAAAUCGAGAAUUAAUAGCUAAAAGGACAACGCCCCUUUUGAGCUUCCUGAAGAACAAGCAAAGAAUGAGAGAAGAAAAGAGAGAAGAAAGGAGGAGACGGGAAAUAGAGAGGAAAAGGCAAAGAGAAGAAGAGAGAAGAAAAUGGAAAGAAGAGGAGAAACGAAAAAGAAAAGAUAUAGAAAAACUAAAGAAGAUAGAAAGAAUUCCAGAAAGGGAGAAAAUAAGGGAUGAACCAAAGAUUAAGGUACACAGGUUUCUGUUACAAGCUGUGAAUCAGAAAAAUUUGCUCAGGAAACCGGAAAAAGGAGAUGAAAAAGAACUUGAUAAAAGAGACAAAACCAAGAGACUGGACAAAGAAAAUCUGAAUGAAGAAAGAGCCAGUGGGCACAGUUAUACUCUGCCCAGGCGUUCUGAUGUCGAACUGAAGGAUGAAAAGCCAAAGAGGCUCGAUGACGAGGGUGUCAGAGAUUACAGAGACAGGGACCGGGACUAUGAGAGAGAUCAGGAGCGCAUGAUCCGAGAAAGAGAGAGGCUGAAGCGGCAAGAAGAAGAGCGCCGGCGGCAGCAGCAGAAAGAACGCUAUGAGAAAGAGAAGGCUUUUAAGCGAAAGGAAGAAGAAAUGAAGAGAGAGAAAGAGGCACUUCGAGAUAAAGGAAAGAAGAGUGAGAAUACAGAAUCAAUAUGCUCAUUAGAAAAAAUUGAAAAAAAAGAGGAAGUGGUUAAGAGAGACCGCAUAAGGAACAAGGUGCUGCUGUUUUUUUAUUAAACUUGGUUGUUUUUAUGAGGAUUCCCCCCCUAUUCUUAGAAGGAUAAAUUUAAAGGAAUGUGCCCUAUCCCCACCCCCACUAGGUAUUGAAUCAUUGCAAGCUUUCUGCCAGUGAACUUCAUCCCCAGUCCCUAUUGUGGAAUUUUCAUUUUCUUUUUUUCUAAUUUAUGUAUUUAUUUUUUGCAUGUGUGCACAUGAGUGUGCACACGUGCAUACAUGUCCAGUGCAUGAAUAGUGGUGAGAGGACAGUUUGUGGGAGCCAUUUUCUCCUUCCACCAGGUGGGUUCUAGAGAUUGAACCCAGGUUGUCAAGCUUGGCAGCAAGUCCUCUUACCCAAUGAACCAUCUCAUCAGCCCAAUGGUAAUUUCUUUCUUUGUUUCUUUUCUUUUUUGUUUUUCUUUUUCUGUUCUCUUUCUUUCUCUCUCUCUUUUUUUGUUUUUGUUUUUUUUUUUCAAGACAGGGUUUCUCUUUGUAGCCCUGGCUGUCCUGGAACUCAUUUUGUAGACCAGGUUGACCUUGAACUCACAGAGUUCCGCCUGCCUCUGCCUCCUGAAUGCUGAGAUUAGCAGCAUGCCCCACCCUGCCCAGCUUCAAAGGUAAUUUCUUACUAUCCUAAUUAUUCCUAGUGAGAGUUUCCCAGUUGCAUCAUUAAUGUCUUUUUAAAUAAGGGCCAUGAACAAUGUUCAUAGUGUGUGGUUGAAUUCUAUUUUGAUCUAAACAAUCUUUUUUUUCCCUGAUACAUAAUUGUUUGUUGUAGAAACCAGUUUGUCCUAUGAAUCUUCUCAGACUGUACAUUGGCAAAUUAUAACUUCUUUAUCUCAUUGAACAUAUAUAUUCUGUUUCUUUUAUAAUUACUACUUAAGCACUAGUACUGUCAUAGACAACAGCAUAAAUGGAACCAUAGGUUCAAAACACAGCAUUAAAAAUUUAUAAUUAAACAAUUUUUAAAUGAAAAUAAUAGUCAAAUCUUGGAAAAACAGCUGCUAAUAUUUUAGGCUAUCUGAGCCAUAUAGUCUCUGUCACAACAGCUAAAUUCUUUAAGGAAAUAGACAUGGGUAAUAUAUAAAAAUGAGCUUGGGGUUGAGUGUGUUUCUCAGUAGUUAAAAGUGCUGGCCUAGCUUGCAUGGCAGGACACAGCUUUUAUCCUAGCACUUGGGAGGCAGAUGGAGGAGGAUCUCUGGAGGACAGCCUGGUCUAUUUACUUGAAUCCAAGGACAGUCGGGGCUAUGUAAAGAGACCCUGUAUCAAUAACAACACUUGGGGCUGGAGAGAUGGCUUAGCAGUUAAGGGGUGAAUAUUUUUUAUUUUUUCAAUUGCUAGUACCCAUGUCAGGCAGCUCACAGACAUAUAUAACUCCAGUCACUGUGGGCAACUGCAUGUACUUAUAGAUACACAUGCAUACUACUUCCCCACACAGUUAAAAAAAUAAUAAGGAAAAAUAAAUCUUUUUUUUUUUUAAGGCUAGGCAUGGUGUAUACCUGUAAUCCCAGAACGCAGGGGCAGAAGCAGGUGGGUUUCUGUAAGGCAAGCAGAUCUUUUCUUUUUUGCUAGGGAUCAAACCCAAAUCUAGUUAGGCAAGAAUUCUACCACUGAGCUAAAUCAAGCCAAACUUAAACAUAUUUUUGUGUAGUUUUAGAUUUUUAUAAUGAAUUUAUUGCAUGGGACAUGGUGGCCCAUGUCUGAAGGAGGAUUUCAAGUUGGAGGUCAGCCUAGGCUACUUUAGGCCCUGUUCUCCCUCUCCCACCACAAAAGGCGAUUUACUGGUAGAGAAUCACAGGCAUGUAGUUGUAGUUUCUCCAGUGACUUACACCCCCCCAGGCCAGUUGUCUAACCCCUGGCUUUGAAUGUAUUAAACACUCUGUUACUGAGCUACAGCUUGGCCCUUGGUUCUUGUAGUUUCUAAGUUUAAAAAAAUUAGGGGUAAUUAAUUCUUAUUACCUAAUACCUAUAAAUUAGGUUAUCUUGAGGUAGUUUUAAAAUUAGGCGAAUACAUUAUAUGCAUGUACAAAAUUCUCAAAGAAUUAAUAAAAUAUUAUUUUAAAAUUUAGAGGGGCUGGAGAGAUGGCUCAGCGGUAAAGAGCAAUGACUGCUCUUCCGAAGGUCCUGAGUUCAAAUCCCAGCAACCACAUGGUGGCUCACAACCAUCUGAAAUGAGAUCUGACGCCUUCUUCUGGUGUGUCUGAAGACAGCUACAGUGUACUUACAUAUAAUGAUAAAUAAAUCUUUAAAAAAAUUAGGCAAUAGACUUCUCAAAACAUCACCCUUGGCAUGUUAAGUAAUUCUUAAAUGACUACAGGUUGAGCAUAGUGCUAAACACUUUUAAUCCCAGCAUUCUCAAGAGGCAGAGACAGAUGGAUCUCUGUGAGCUCAAGGCCAGCCUGGUCUACAUGGGAAGUUCCAGGACUGCUAGACUACAUUGAAAGAUCCUGUCUCAAGUAAAGUGACAGCAGCUAGAGCUGGUGGUGACAGCUUGUAAUCCCAGGGAGGCUGAGGAUCGUCCAGCCAUGCAGCUUUACCAACCAGGAGCUCGAAGCCGAAGCCGACUCUGUCCCGCCGAUGACAGCAUCAAGCCUGGAGAUUCCCCAGUGGACAAAAAGCAGGAAAGUGGUAUUAGCCAUAGAAAAGAAGGAGGAGAGGAGUGAGAAGUCCAAAUGGUCAUAGGUGUCCUGACUGUCCAGGCAGCCAAAGAGCACGUAUUAUGCUAUCCAGAAGUGCCUUCAGGGCAAAGGAACAGAGAACAAGAAAAGGGGUCGCUGUGCUGGUGGGAUGUACUACAGAGGAGUGUGUCUAAGCAGAAUAAGAUUGCAGGCUCAGAACCGAAGGACAAUUUCAUUGUUUUCUGCAGUUUCCACAAGUUAAUUUUAAUGUCUCAGAAAAAGAUGGUAGCAAGAACAUUGCAAGUGAAAAAUGUCAAAUAAGGGCUUAACUUUGUAUGACAGCUAAAAAGAGCAGGUUCGAAAAUCAAUGGGUGCUCUUAAUCCUGGCUUGGAGCAUCUUCGUUUGAGUGGAGCAGAAACACACUAAGUUUCGUUGGGAUCUAACUAUUUUGCAUUGUUGGUGUUGACUGUUGACUCUGUAGUGUAGGAGCAAUGAGCAUGUAAUUGUAGCACAAGUAGAGCGGAGGAUAGAGCAAAUUAUGGCUGAUGGAAAAGAUUUAAAUAGUCACGUUACAUCUAUAUCCUGUGUCUGAAGUUUUCAUAAUUACAGCUUGUUUUAAUUCUGUAAAUGUAGCAUCAAAAAUUCCUUGUAAACAUCUCGUUUUUGCCUUUAGCGUUUUUUCCUAUUACUAGGUAAAAUGUAGCCCUUGGCUAGUUACUGACAAUCUAGUCUUUGUUUUAUCUUAGGUCUGAUGAUUUGAGUGCAUACCCUCUUCCAGGAAGGAAGCUACACCAUUAUCUGUUCCUGUUAUGGCAGCUUUCAGUCUUAGCUUGUUUUUGUAAUGCUGUCAAUAAAUUUCCACUUCGUUCCGGUUUGAA